AGAUGAGCCAGCCUCAGUGAUGCAUGUGUCCUCCUCUAACAGAUAAAGGGGACUCUGUCACCAGAAUAAAAGGAGGAAAAUGCAAACUGACUCAAGACAGCAGAACCGACGGUCCUGUUAUCCCAAAAGCCCCAGGACAACCCCGCUCAGGGCUGCAGCUGUGUGGCCCAGGGAUCGUCACUACUUCACCCUGGGCCGCACCCCAGGCC
rnacentral:lncRNA from 1 species